rnacentral:misc_RNA from 1 species
GAUGAAGAACGCAGUGAAAUGCGAUACUUGGUGUGAAUUGCAGAAUCCCGUGAACCAUCGAGUCUUUGAACGCAAGUUGCGCCCGAAGCCAUUAGGCCGAGGGCACGCCUGCCUGGGCGUCACACGUCGUUGCCCCCCCAUCUACUCCUUCGGGAUUGCGGGGGGCGGAUGAUGGCCUCCCGUGCGCCUCGUCGCGCGGUUGGCAUAAAUGCCAAGUCCUCGGCGACGCACGCCACGACAAUCGGUGGUUGCGAAACCUCGGUUGCCCGUCGUGUGCGGCCGUCGCGCAUCGAGGGCUCGAAAAAAUUGCCGGGCUCCGGCUCGGCUUUCAACGCGACCCCAGGUCAGGCGGGGUUACCCGCUGAAUUUAAGCAUAUCAAUAAGCGGAGGA